CAGACACAUAGAUACACACAUGUAGUUACAUAGAAACACAGUCAUACACAGAUACAGACAAACACUGACAUGCACACAUACAAACACACAGGCACAGACACACAUACAGAUAGAGACACACACAUACAGACACACUGAUACAAACACAGACACACAAACAGAUACACACUGACACAUACAGAUACACAUAUACCAACACACAAAC